GGGUCGGUGGCGUAGUUGGUUAUCGCAUCUGUCUAACAUGUUGUGUGCACAGAAGGUCCUCAGUUCGAACCUGGGCCGACUCA